rnacentral:rRNA from 1 species
GACGAACGCUGGCGGCGUGCUUAACACAUGCAAGUCGAACGGUGAAGGGAUCAGCUUGCUGGUUCUGGAUGAGUGGCGAACGGGUGAGUAACACGUGAGUAACCUGCCCCCUUCUUCUGGAUAACCGCAUGAAAGUGUGGCUAAUACGGGAUAUUCUGGGUCUGUCGCAUGAUGGGUCUGGGAAAGAUAUUGUUUCGGUGGGGGAUGGGCUCGCGGCCUAUCAGCUUGUUGGUGGGGUGAUGGCCUACCAAGGCGGUGACGGGUAGCCGGCCUGAGAGGGUGGACGGUCGCACUGGGACCGAGGCACGGCCCAGACUCCGAGGGGAGGCUGCGGUGGGGUAUAUUGCGCAAGGGGCGCAAGCCUGAUGCAGCGACGCCGCGUGAGGGAGGGAGGCCUUCGUGAUGUAAACCUCUUUCGCCAGUGAAGCAGGCCUGCUCCUUGUGGGUGGGUUGACGGUAGCUGGAUAAGAAGCGCCGGCUAACUACGUG